AUAUGCCUUCUCUCAAAGUAUGUGGUAUUUGUGGUAUGAGGCAUAGUGACAUUGCCUUCUCUCUCAUCCUACUCUAAUAAGGCUUUGAUAUCUGGAGCUCAUAGGUGGGAGAUAAAGUAUACAUACUUAUAAGACAUUUAUUGCAUAGUCAAACCAUGGACCCAGAGAAACAAGUCAAUAAGUCAAUAUCAAGAUGUGCAUGUGUGGCAAAUGGAUGGUGUAUGGUGAUGAUGGUGAAAACAAUGGUGAAAGUCUAAUUCUACUUUUGCUCUUUUGAGGGGAUACAUACCUUUCUUGCACUUUGAAGCUUUUUGAGGAAAAUGAGAUGCUCUAUAUUUUCUUUUUCUUUUCUCUCAGGUGGGUAUCUUGUACCCCUAAUUCUACUAUCGGACACUUGUCCAUUUUUACCUAUCGUCUCACUUUUUCUUUUCUUCGAGGCUCCGAGCACUUGCCGCUUUUUAUUUCCUCGUAUUCACUCUUUUUUUUCAGAGCACUCACCCUCCUGGAAUAAUGUAGCAAGUGGUAGUAACCAAAAUAUCUCGAGCAUUUAUUUCACGGGGAAUAACAGGGAUAGGAUAAUGUUUUUGCUUAUUCUCUCGUGGAUAGGAGUAGAAUAAUUUUGGGUGAAUCUGGAGAAAGAAAUGAGUGGAUGUAUGUGGAUGCGUACUUUCAGAGUAGAAGCAACAUGUAUGAGUGAACGUGCAAGUGAAUCUUGAUUUUAACCGCAUGACAAGCACCUAAGGGUCUACACAGCUUGACCACACUCAAUGCUCAUAAGCAGUAAAAAGUAAAUGAAUGGUUCAUAGUCUAAUAAGCAUGUAUAUAUGGCUGUGGUAGGAUGUUAAACUCUCAUCAUACAGGAACUCAUCAUGCAACAUUUUAAAGAUUUUCAAAGAUAAAAUUCUCCAGAAUUAUAGCAUCUCUAGAAACAGAUAAACAGCAGCUCAACCUUCCCAUAUCGUAUCCAUUAACGACUUAGACUUUAGAUCAAGUAUUCUUCCC
rnacentral:lncRNA from 1 species